UGGGGAAUAUUGCACAAUGGGCGAAAGCCUGAUGCAGCAACGCCGCGUGAGGGACGACGGCCUUCGGGUUGUAACCUCUUUUAGCAAGGAAGAAGCGAAAGUGACGGUACUUGCAGAAAAAGCGACCGGCUAACUACGUGCCAGCAGCCGCGGUAAUACGUAGGGCGCAAGCGUUAUCCGGAAUUAUUGGGCGUAAAGAGCUCGUAGGCGGUUUGUCGCGUCUGCUGUGAAAAACCCGAGGCUCAACCUCGGGCCUGCAGUGGGUACGGGCAGACUAGAGUGCGGUAGGGGAGAUUGGAACUCCUGGUGUAGCGGUGGAAUGCGCAGAUAUCAGGAAGAACACCGAUGGCGAAGGCAGAUCUCUGGGCCGUAACUGACGCUGAGGAGCGAAAAGGGUGGGGAGCAAACAGGCUUAGAUACCCUGGUAGUCCACCCCGUAAAACGUUGGGAACUAGUUGUGGGGUCCAUUCCACGGAUUCCGUGACGCAGCU
rnacentral:rRNA from 1 species